rnacentral:rRNA from 1 species
CUCGCCAANAGUCNACUUGGGANGCUUGUUGGCGUUUGAGGAGUGGCUUGCCGGCAGCUAACGCGAUUAAGUCGACCGCCUGGGGAGUACGGCCGCAAGGUUAAAACUCAAAUGAAUUGACGGGGGCCCGCACAAGCGGUGGAACAUGUGGUUUAAUUCCAUGCAACGCGAAGAACCUUACCUGGUCUUGACAUCCAGAGAACUUAGCAGAGAUGCUUUGGUGCCUUCGGGAACUCUGAGACAGGUGCUGCAUGGCUGUCGUCAGCUCGUGUUGUGAAAUGUUGGGUUAAGUCCCGCAACGAGCGCAACCCUUAUCCUUUGUUGCCAGCGGGUAAUGCCGGGAACUCAAAGGAGACUGCCGGUGAUAAACCGGAGGAAGGUGGGGAUGACGUCAAGUCAUCAUGGCCCUUACGGUCAGGGCUACACACGUGCUACAAUGGCGCAUACAAAGAGAAGCAACCUCGCGAAAGCAAGCGAACCUCAUAAAGUGCUUCUAAUUCCGGAUCGAAGUCUGCAACUCAACUCCGUGAAGUCGGAAUCCCUAGUAAUCGUAAAUCAAAAUGCUACGGGGAAAUACUUUCCCGGGCCUUGUACACACCGCCCGUCACCCCAUGGAAUUGGUUUGCAAAAAAAAUUAGGUAGCUUAAACCUCCGGGAAGGGCGCUUACCCACUUUGGGAUUCUGGAUGGGGGGGGAAGUCUUACAAGGGUAACCGGCGGGG